GAUGGAUGCAGGAAAAUUUCCUCCUCCUGAUACAACUUAUAAAAGGCAUUUUAAAAUUCUGUUUAUCACUUACAACUCUGUGCGUGAAGCAAUUUUAACCCCAUCUUACACAUAAAGAAACUGGACCUCAGAGGAGUUUUUACUAUUUAUCUUUUUCCUGGAAGGAGCUGCAAGAAAAUUAUGUUGCUGCUGUGGCCCAGGUCAGAGAGGGGAAGACUGAAAAAUCAUAACAAGCUACACUCAGAUUUGCAGCCCACAUUCACAUCACUGAAUUUGCACAAAUGUAAGACCUUAGAAAUCUUUCUGGUUUCAGAAGACUUGCCUGCUAAGUGUAUGCCAGGAACUCGGCAGUGGUGUGCCAAAGGCGGGACAAGGGGUGUGGCUGACCCGGGUGCAACAAUAGAGCAUGCAUUAUCUGGAGAGAAUUUUAAAACUACUCAAGCCUAGUUUG